GUUAGAUAUUAAAAUUUAAAUUUGUUUUAAUUAAAACAUUAUUAAAUUUAGUAAAGGAGAUUAAAAAUUAUUUUAUAUCUUUAAGUUAAAGUACUGUGAAGGAAUAACUUUAAUUAUAAAAAAGAAAAAAUUAAAUUUUGUACCUUUUGCAUCAUGGUUUAGCUAGAUUUCAGUUGAAUAUACAAUUUCUCGAAAUUUAAUGAGCUAUUUUUAACCCUUAUAUUAGUAAUUAGAAACUAAUUGUAGCAAAAAUUUUUUCAGAGUUAAAAAUAGAAAUGAAAUUUUAUUCGCAUUAAAUGAUAGCUAGUUUUUCCAUAAAAACAUAGAAGUGUUUUAAAUUAAAUUGUUUUUAAUAAAUAAAAUAAUUAAAAAUAUUUAAUUUAAUUAAACUUUUGAGGAUAAGCUCAAAGGUGUUAAUAAUUUUUGUAUAAAUUAAAAUUUAAAUUUAAGCUUGAAAAUAGCUAAAACUUAUGGAUUUUGUUAUAAUUUCAUUACUUAAAAAAAACAUAAUUAAUAUACUAAGCUAAAAGGAAAAAAUCUCUAAAAUUAAUUAAUGAGUUGAAUACAUGCUAAAAUGAGUAUUUUUUAAAACCUGUUUUUUCUAAAAAUAUAUAAUUUUGAAAUUUAUUUUCAUUUAUUUUUAUAAAAAUUAUAAAAAGGAACUCGGCAAAUAAAAUAUUCUGCCUGUUUAUUAAAAACAUGGCUCCCUGUAAUGAAACAAAAUAGGGAGUCGGACCUGCCCGGUGAAAUUUUAACGGCCGCGGUACUCUGACCGUGCAAAGGUAGCAUAAUCAUUUGCCUUAUAAUUGAAGGCUAGUAUGAAUGGUUUGACAAGAAUAUAGCUGUCUCUUUAUAAUUUUAUAGAACUUUAUCUUAAGGUGAAGAAGCUUUAAUUAAAUUAAAAGACAAGAAGACCCUAUCGAGCUUUAGAAAAAUUCAUAGGAAUUAAUUAAUAAUGACUUAAAAAAUUAACUAUUAAAUACUUUGGUUGGGGCGACUGAGGAACAAAUAAAGCUUCCUUUAAAUAAUAACACACAUACAGGUAUUGAUCCAAAAUUUUUGAUUAAAGAAAUUAGUUACCGUAGGGAUAACAGCAUUAUCUUUUUUGAGAGCUCUUAUCGAAAAAAAGGUUUGUGACCUCGAUGUUGGACCAGAAUAUCCUAAAGAUGCAGAAGUCUUUAAGGGUUGGUCUGUUCGACCAUUAAAAUUCUACGUGAUCUGAGUUUAGACCGGCGUGAGCCAGGUCAGUUUCUAUCUUUAAUUUAUUAAAUAGAUUUAGUACGAAAGGACCAACCUAUUGUAAAAAUUUGCUACAAUAUGAAGAAAUAUAAUAAAAACUUAAAAUAUUUAU
rnacentral:rRNA from 1 species